CCAAACGGCUAGCCUCACUCCGAGCUAGUGCAAGGACAUGCUAGACAUGUCCAAAGUGCCUUAGAGUGCACCAGCAUGCCGUGCCAUGCCAAAACUAUGCUCUGUGCGCGCUAUAGGAAGCCACCGAGGAGGGGCGAUGCUCUUGGCCAGUUCCAACCUCCCCUGAGGUGUGCAACCUCUUCCCCGACAACCCCUUUGCGUCGAGCAACCAUCAGGGCCCCUCCUCUCCCGCACUAGAGCUCGUGCGACGCGUGCCCGCGCGCACCAAAACCGACCAAGGUUGCGCGGCCACGGAU
rnacentral:lncRNA from 1 species